rnacentral:lncRNA from 1 species
CUACUAAACCCAUAAAGGUCUCCACAAUUCCAUUGGAAUUAUGUUCUUAACACAAAUCCCAUCUGGGAACACACCCUUCUAGAAGACCCCUAUUGCCUAUAGAUGAACCUCCACAGUUCUCACUGCCAGCAAGGCCUUUUUCAUAACGCAGCCCCAUCUUUCCUGCCUUGACAUGUGGAACUGUCCAUCCAGAUUGUCUGUGUACUUGCACACCUCAUACUCUUGCCAUGGCUUGGGUUGAGUUGCCAUUCCUUGUCAAGUUUGCAAACUCCUGCAUAUCCUGUAAAGCUCCACUUAAACAUUAUAUCUCUUUUGCUUUCUGUGACUCUCCCAGGAAGAAUUAAUUGCUUCCACCAUGUGUCUUUCCUUAGCUCUUAUACCUUUUUUAUGGCAUUCUUUGCAUUUUAGGUCUUUAUGUAUUGAUGGUCUCUAUUGGCUAUAACUUGAGGGCAGGGACCAUGUCUUGAUUUAUCUUUGUGACCCCCACUUUGCAACUCUCCAUCAGGCACAAGGACUGACAUAGACUGUGUGUAUAAUAAAUGGCACUGAAAAGGCCAGAUUGCCCCAGAUGGAAGAAUAAUGAAAAACUUGCAGUAAACAGAAUAAUGGCCCUCCAAAGAUGUCCACAUCCCUAAUCCCCAGAGCCUGUGAAUGUUGCCUUUCAUGGCAAAAGGGACUUUGCAGGUGUUGUUACCAAACCAGGUUCAUUUUUGCCUGCCGCCCAGAAAGCCAAACACCGAGAUGACGAGACUGCAGCAGAGAGAGGGUUUACUCACAGGGCACUCAUGGGAGGAAGCGAGAACAGGAGCCUCGAAUUCGCUUCCCCGAAAAUAGGAACUCAGGGAUAUUUAUGGAAUAGGGGGCAAGGUGUUCUGAAAUGUGGAGCAAGGUGAUUGGAGGUGAGGAGAAGUGAGGUAACUGUUGAUCUGCACAAGCAUAGUCAGACUCCAUGUCUCUUUGUAGGACCCAUGCUCACAAAAUGGCGGCUUUAGCGUGAUCUGAGGGUGGAGCUUUUAGCCUGUUGGCAUCAAAAGGCCACCUAUUGGACAUCUGCAUGGGCCCAGGUGAUGAGUUGGUGGUCUCAACCUGCCUGGAGUGGACAAAGGGG